rnacentral:rRNA from 1 species
GAUGAACGCUGGCGGCGUGCUUAACACAUGCAAGUCGAACGAAGCACUUUUACAGAUUUCUUCGGAAUGAAGUUUUAGUGACUGAGUGGCGGACGGGGGAGUAACGCGUGGGUAACCUGCCUCACACAGGGGGAUAACAGUUGGAAACGGCUGCUAAUACCGCAUAAGCGCACAGUACUGCAUGGUACGGUGUGAAAAACUCCGGUGGUGUGAGAUGGACCCGCGUCUGAUUAGCUAGUUGGCAGGGCAACGGCCUACCAAGGCCACGACCAGUAGCCGACCUGAGAGGGUGACCGGCCACAUUGGGACUGAGACACGGCCCAAACUCCUACGGGAGGCAGCAGUGGGGAAUAUUGCACAAUGGGGGAAACCCUGAUGCAGCGACGCCGCGUGAGCGAAGAAGUAUUUCGGUAUGUAAAGCUCUAUCAGCAGGGAAGAAGAAAUGACGGUACCUGACUAAGAAGCACCGGCUAAAUACGUGCCAGCCGCCGCAGUAA